rnacentral:rRNA from 1 species
UGAGUACGAGAUGCUACGGCGUCGAAGCAGUGUAUGUCAGACUUCCAAGAAAAGCUCGCAAUGUCAUAAAUAAAUAAUGCCUGUACCAUAACCGACACAGGUGGGUAGGUAGAGUAUACUAAGGGGCGCGAGAUAACUCUCUCUAAGGAACUCGGCAAAAUAACUCCGUAACUUCGGGAGAAGGAGUGCCUUAUUUUAUAAGGUUGCAAUAACAAGAUCCAAGCAACUGUUUACCAAAAACACAGGUCUCCGCUAAGUCGUAAGACGAUGUAUGGGGGCUGACGCCUGCCCAGUGCCAGAAGGUUAAAGAAGUCGGUUAGCUUUGCAAAGCUGAUAACUGAAGCCCUGGUGAACGGCGGCCGUAACGAUAACGGUCCUAAGGUAGCGAAAUUCCUUGUCGGGUAAGUUCCGACCCGCACGAAAGGCGUAAUGAUUUGGAUACUGUCUCGGAGAGGGACUCGGUGAAAUAGACUUGUCUGUGAAGAUGCGGACUACCUGCACCAGGACAGAAAGACCCUAUGAAGCUUUACUGUAACUUGAAAUUGAAAUUGGACUUUAUUUGCGCAGUAUAGGUGGGAGGCGUUGAAAAUAAUCUUGCGGGAUUCUUGGAGCCAUCAGUGAGAUACCACUCCUAUAAUGUUAGAUUUCUAACUUUGUAUCAUAAUCUGGUCAAAGAACAGUUUCAGGCGGGCAGUUUGACUGGGGCGGUCGCCUCCCAAAUGGUAACGGAGGCGUACAAAGGUUUCCUCUGAACGGGUAGAAAUCGUAUCUAGAGUGUAAAGGCAUAAGGAAGCUUGACUGUGAGACCUACAAGUCGAGCAGGGACGAAAGUCGGUCUUAGUGAUCUGACGGUGCUGAGUGGAAAGGCCGACACUCAACGGAUAAAAGUUACUCUAGGGAUAACAGGCUGAUCUCCCCCAAGAGUUCACAUCGACGGGGAGGUUUGGCACCUUGAUGUCGGCUCAUCGCAUCCUGGGGCGGUAGUACGUCCCAAGGGUUGGGCUGUUCGCCCAUGAAAGCGGUACGCGAGCUGGGUUCAGGACGUCGUGAGACAGUUCGGUCCAUAUCCGGUGUAGGCGUUAGAAUAUCGAGAGGAGCCUUCUUUAGUACGAGAGGACCGAGAAGGACAUACCUCUGGUGUACCAGUUAUCGUGCCAACGGUAAACGCUGGGUAGCUAUGUAUGGAGAGGAUAACCGCUGAAAGCAUCUAAGUGGGAAGCCCACCUCAAGAUGAG